rnacentral:rRNA from 1 species
CCUGGCAGCUAGCUUCCUGCAACUCUGAUGGUCGCCCACUGAAGCUAAGCAGGUCUGUGCCCGGUCAGUACCUGGAUGGGAGACCACAUGGGAAAGCUAGGUUGCUGGCGGAA